rnacentral:rRNA from 1 species
AUGUUUAGUACAGCUACGUGCAUCGCUUUCUUCAAUCAAGGCUGUCAGUUGUUAGUUGGGCCUGAGCAUUCGCUUUUACUAUCCUCAUCUGCCUCCACAUUGUUUACUUCAAUAUUUUCUCUGAAGCAAACCAGCAAGGGCACAUUAUUUGCUCUUGCCGUUACUGUCUUCCUCAAACUUGUGCUUCUCUGCCAUUCUUGGCUUCUUGCGUGUGUUAUCCUUAGUGUUCCAAUGGCGGCAGUGGUGGCCACCAUGGUGGUCGGACCACUGGUCAAAAUUAUGAUGGAGAACUCGUCCAGCUACCUCCUUAACCAGUACAAGGUGAUGAAGGGCAUGGAGAAGGAACAUGAUAUCUUGAAGCGCAAACUGCUUCUCGUCGAGGAUAUCAUCACCGACGCCGAGCAGGCAGCAGCCGACACCGAGCAGGCGGCAGCCCGCAGAGCAGGGGCGGUGGCCUGGCUCGAGGACAUGAAGAAGGUGGCUUACAAGGCGAAUGAAGUCUUUGAUGAGUUCAAGUAUGAGGCGCUUCGUCGUAAGGCCAAAAAGGAGGGACACUACAACGACCUAGGCUUCAGUGUGGUAAAACUCUUUCCCAUCCACAACCGUUUUAUAUUCCGUAACAGGAUGGGAAGAAAGCUCCACCAGAUUGUACGUGACAUUGAUCUGCUUGUGAAUGAAAAGAAUGAAUUUGGCACUAAACAUCGUCAACGCUCUAAACAUCCUCAGCCACUAGUAUCCAACCAGUUGCGGGAGAUGGAUGAUAAUAUCUUUGAUCUAAAGCAAAUCAAGAGAAGAUCGAGAGAGAAUGAUAGUAAGAGUAUCAUUGAUUUACUAGUUGGUCAAGCUAACAAUGCAGAUCUCACGGUUGUUCCCAUCGUUGGAAUGGGGGGUCUAGGCAAGACCACAUUAGCACAACUUGUUUACAAUGAUCCUGAAAUUCAGAAGCAUUUUGAUCUGCUGUUGUGGGUUUGUGUCUCCGGUAGCUUUGAUGUGGAUACUCUGGCAAAACAUAUAGUUGAAGCCUCUCCUGGGAAGAAGGACGAUGGCAAAGAAGUUGCUACUUCCAAGAAGAAGAGUACACCACUGGAUAACCUUCAGAAUGUUGUUAAUGGGCAAAGGUACCUCCUUGUGCUGGAUGAUGUCUGGAAACGAGAGUUUGAUAAAGGAGAGGUUGAUAAAUGGGAGCAACUCAAGGCACGCCUUCAACAUGGUGGCGUAGGUAGUGUCGUAUUGACAACAACUCGUCAUGAACGAGUAGCUAAAAUAAUGCACUGUACUGAAGUCUAUAAUCUCACAGCUUUGGAAGAUAGAUUCCUAAAGGAAAUCAUCGAGACAAGAGCAUUUAGCUAUUUUCCCAAUGAGGAGGAAAGGCCUGUUGGGUUGGUGAAUAUGGUUGAUGAGAUUGUGAAGAGAUGUGUUGGCUCUCCUUUAGCCGCAACAACACUGGGCUCCGUACUGUGUACCAAGACCAGUGUGGAAGAAUGGAAGGCUGUAUCAAGCAGAAGCAACAUUUGCACCGAGGAGUCUGGAAUCUUACCGAUACUCACUCUCAGUUACAACGACCAGCCGACAGAUAUGAAGCAAUGUUUUGCUUUUUGUGCUAUAUUUCCCAAAGGUUACAUGAUUGAUGUGGAUAAGUUGAUCCAACUAUGGAUUGCACAUGGCUUUCUUAUCCAAGAAGAUAAUGUUCGUCUUGAAACCACUGGCAAAAGGAUUUUCAAAGAUCUAGCCUGCAGGUCAUUCUUUCAGGAUGUGAAAAAAGUCCAAGCCGGGUUGUGUUAUUCUAUGUCUAUAUGUAAAAUCCAUGAUCUUAUGCAUGAUGUUGCAUUGUCUGUAAUGGGAAAGGAAUGUGCCUUGGCAACAUGGGAACUAGGCAAGAUUGAACAUGCUGCAACUGAGGAAUCAAGUCAGUGUGAGUGGCUUACAAAUGAUGCACGGCAUUUAUUUUUGUUGUGCAACGAACCAGAAAGAAAACUGAAUAUUUCUCUAGAGGGAAGCUCUCCAUCUAUCCAAACUCUUUUGUGUCUUAGAGUUAUGAAAAGUGCAUAA